AUUGAACGCUGGCGGUAUGCUUAACACAUGCAAGUCGAACGGUAACGAUGGUAGCUUGCUACCAGGCGACGAGUGGCGGACGGGUGAGUAAUGCAUAGGAAUCUGCCUGGUAGUGGGGGACAACCUGGUGAAAACCAGGCUAAUACCGCAUACGUCCUUCGGGAGAAAGGCUUCGGCCGCUGCCAGAUGAGCCUAUGUCUGAUUAGCUUGUUGGUGAGGUAACGGCUCACCAAGGCGACGAUCAGUAGCUGGUCUGAGAGGACGAUCAGCCACACUGGGACUGAGACACGGCCCAGACUCCUACGGGAGGCAGCAGUGGGGAAUAUUGGACAAUGGGCGAAAGCCUGAUCCAGCAAUACCGCGUGUGUGAAGAAGGCCUGCGGGUUGUAAAGCACUUUCAGUAGGGAAGAUAAUGACGGUACCUACAGAAGAAGCACCGGCUAACUCUGUGCCAGCCGCCGCGGU
rnacentral:rRNA from 1 species